rnacentral:rRNA from 1 species
CCUACGGGUGACAGCAGUGAGGAAUAUUGGUCAAUGGGCGAGCGCCUGAACCAGCCAAGUCGCGUGAAGGAUGACGGCCCUACGGGUUGUCAACUUCUUUUGUCAGGGAGCAAUUGGGUCCACGCGUGGGAUUAGCGUGAGUACCUGAAGAAGAAGCAUCGGCUAACUCCGUGCCCGCAGCCGCGGUAAUAAGGAGGAUGCGAUCGGUAUCCGGCUUUAUUGGGUUUAAAGGGUGCGUAGGCGGAAUAUCAAGUCAGCGGUAAAAAUUCGGGGCUCAACCCCGUCGUGACGUUGAAACUGAUGUUCUUGAGUGGGCGAGAAGGAUGCAGAAGGCGUGGUGUAGCGGUGAAAUGCAUAGAUAGCACGCAGAACUCCGAUUGCGAAGGCAGCAUACCGGCGCCCAACUGACGCUGAAGCACGAAAGCGUGGGUAUCGAACAGGAUUAGAUACCCCUGUAGUC